GCAUUAUACCGUGAAACUGCGAAUGGCUCAUUAAAUCAGUUAUCGUUUAUUUGAUAGUACCUUACUACUUGGAUAACCGUGGUAAUUCUAGAGCUAAUACAUGCUGAAAACCCCGACUUCGGGAGGGGUGUAUUUAUUAGAUAAAAAACCAACGCCCUUCGGGGCUUCUUGGUGAUUCAUGAUAACUUCACGGAUCGCAUGGCCUUGCGCCGGCGACGGUUCAUUCAAAUUUCUGCCCUAUCAACUUUCGAUGGUAAGGUAUUGGCUUACCAUGGUUUCAACGGGUAACGGGGAAUUAGGGUUCGAUUCCGGAGAGGGAGCCUGAGAAACGGCUACCACAUCCAAGGAAGGCAGCAGGCGCGCAAAUUACCCAAUCCCGACACGGGGAGGUAGUGACAAUAAAUACUGAUACAGGGCUCUUUUGGGUCUUGUAAUUGGAAUGAGUACAAUUUAAACCUCUUAACGAGGAACAAUUGGAGGGCAAGUCUGGUGCCAGCAGCCGCGGUAAUUCCAGCUCCAAUAGCGUAUAUUAAAGUUGUUGCAGUUAAAAAGCUCGUAGUUGAAACUUGGGCCUGGCUGGCAGGUCCGCCUCACCGCGUGUACUUGUCCGGCCGGGCCUUUCCUUCUGGAGAACCUCAUGCCCUUCACUGGGUGUGCUGGGGAACCAGGACUUUUACUUUGAAAAAAUUAGAGUGUUCAAAGCAGGCCUUUGCUCGAAUACGUUAGCAUGGAAUAAUAGAAUAGGACGUGCGGUCCUAUUUUGUUGGUUUCUAGGACCGCCGUAAUGAUUAAUAGGGACAGUCGGGGGCAUCAGUAUUCAAUUGUCAGAGGUGAAAUUCUUGGAUUUAUUGAAGACUAACUACUGCGAAAGCAUUUGCCAAGGAUGUUUUCAUUAAUCAGUGAACGAAGUUAGGGGAUCGAAGACGAUCAGAUACCGUCGUAGUCUUAACCGUAACUAUGCCGACUAGGGAUCGGGCGAUGUUCUUUUUCUGA
rnacentral:rRNA from 1 species